rnacentral:rRNA from 1 species
GAUGAACGCUGGCGGCGUGCCUAAUACAUGCAAGUCGAGCGAACAGAUGAGGAGCUUGCUCCUCUGACGUUAGCGGCGGACGGGUGAGUAACACGUGGAUAACCUACCUUUAAGACUGGGAUAACUUCGGGAAACCGGAGCUAAUACCGGAUAAUAUAUUUAACCGCAUGGUUCAAUAGUGAAAGACGGUUUUGCUGUCACUUAUAGAUGGAUCCGCGCCGCAUUAGCUAGUUGGUAAGGUAACGGCUUACCAAGGCAACGAUGCGUAGCCGACCUGAGAGGGUGAUCGGCCAAACUGGAACUGAGACACGGUCCAGACUCCUACGGGAGGCAGCAGUAGGGAAUCUUCCGCAAGGGGCGAAAGCCUGACGGAGCAAAGCCGCGUGAGUGAUGAAGGUCUUCGGAUCGUAAAAAUCUGUUAUUAGGGAAGAACAAAUGUGUAAGUAACUAUGCACGUCUUGACGGUACCUAAUCAGAAAGCCACGGCUAACUACGUG